ACGCUCGACACCUACGGGAGGUAGCAGUAGGGAAUCUUCCACAAUGGGCGGCAAGCCUGAUGGAGCAACACCGCGUGAGUGAAGAAGGGUUUCGGCUCGUAAAGCUCUGUUGUUGGAGAAGAACGUGCGUGAGAGUAACUGUUCACGCAGUGACGGUAUCCAACCAGAAAGUCACGGCUAACUACGUGCAGCAGCCGCGGUAAUCUGAGCGGGCUGGCAAGGC
rnacentral:rRNA from 1 species